CUCUGCAACUUCCUCAAAAUCAGGUUGUAUCUUAUUUCCUCCGCAUUCUUCGUUUGCAACCGCCUCUAAAUCUUAUUCCACCAUUUCCAAGUCUUCAUCUUCUCCAUCUUCAACUCUCUCAAAAUCAAGAGAAUCUUAUACUAUUUCCAAGUCAUAGUUUAUUUCAUCUUCUUCAUAUGCAACUCUCUCAAAGUCCAUUGAGUCUUUCCAAUUCUCAGUCUUCAUUUUCUUCCUCUAGUCUUCUACUCUUUCCAAUUCACAAUCUUCAUCUUCUUCCUCAACAAUAUGCUCAAACUCUAGAGAAUCUUCUUUUCUUUCCAAUUCAUAGUCUUCAUUUUCUUCCUCUUGAGAAUCUUCUACUCUUUCAAAUUCAUAGGAUUUGUUACUAUCUUCAUUCAUACAUCUUAUCACAUAUAGAAACACUUGCAACAACACAUCAAAAACAUUCAACUUUUAAUUACUUGUACGUAGAGUUGUUUUACCCUUAUUAUGUGCAUAUAUAGAAAUAUUUCCAAUCAAUGGAUACCAUACUCCAAUGGAUAACAACACAUAUUUUUAGGGGUAUAUUUGGAAAAACUAAUAAAUUUGGAAAGGUGCUUAUAUUUAGGGACAAGAAUUUUUUUUGAAAAGGUGCUUAUAAUUAGCGACAGAUGGAGUAUUAUUUAAUGAAAAAUGCUAAAGAGUGCCUCAAGGGCACUGGUUAAGGAUGUCAAAAUGGAAAUGUUAACUUGUAGGGUAAAUGAUCAUUUACCCUCCGCAAAAUAAGCAAAUUUUCGUUUACCCCCCUAUGCAGAUUUCUUUUCUGUUUACCCCCCCCGCAAAAAAUAGAUUCACUNNNNNNNNNNNNNNNNNNNNNNNNNNNNNNNNNNNNNNNNNNNNNNNNNNNNNNNNNNNNNNNNNNNNNNNNNNNNNNNNNNNAAAAACAUUUAUAUUUAUUUUUAAAUUCCACGUCAGAUAAUAUUUUUUCCAAAAAAAAAAAUUUCCUACAAAAUUAAUAAAACGAUUUUUUAUUUCCAAAAUUAAAAGAAAAUCCUACAAAUAAAUUUUUUUUCCCUACAAAAUUUUAAAAAAUCCCUACAAAUAGUUUUUUUUCGUACAAAAUUAUUAUUUUUUUCCUAAAAUAAAAAAACGAAUUUUCAUAUUUUUCUCCCAAAUAAAGUUAAUUAUCAAAAUAAAGAUUUUAAAAAUUUAUUUUCAAAUCUUUUUGAUUUAAAAAAACGGGUAAAUUAUCAUUUACCCCCCUACAAAAUAAGUAAAUUUUCGUUUACCCCCNNNNNNNNNNNNCCCCCUGCAAAAAAUAGAUUCACUCAUUUUGCCCCCCGUGUGUACAGCAGGACAUGUGAAUGUGCAAAUCUGCUGACAUGACUUGUACACGUGGAAAAAAUAAUUAAUAUUUAUUUUUUAAAUUCCACGUCAGAUAAUAUAUUUUUUUAAAAAAAAAAAUCCUACAAAAUAAAAAAACGGAUUUUCUUUAUUUUUUUCCCAAGAAAAUCCUACAAAUAAAUUUUUUUUCCUACAAAAUUUUUUAAAAAAUUUCCUGCAAGAAAAAUAAAUUUUUUUUUCCUACAAAGAAUUUAAAAAAUUUCCAACAAAUAAAAAUGAAUUUUCUUAUUUUGCUCCCAAAAUAAAUAUUUACUCCAAAAUAAAUUUUAUUUUCAAAAUAAAAAUUUUAAAGAUUUAUUUUCAAAUCUUUUUGAAUUAAAAAAAACAUGAUCUUUAUUUUUUAAAAACAAAACAUUAUUUUUUUGUUAAUCUCUUUGAAUUAAAAAAAAUAGAAAAAGAAGUUUUAUUCGUGUUUUCCUCUUAUUUGUAGGAAUUUUUUAAAAUUUUGUAGGGAAAUUUUUUUUAUUUGUAUGAUUUUCUUUUAAUUUUGGAAAAUAAAUUCGUUUUAUUAAUUUUGUAGGAAAAACAUUUUUUGAAAAAAAUAUUAUCUGACGUGGAAUUUAAAAAUAAAUAUAAAUGUUUUUUUCCACGUGUAAAAGCCACGUCAGCAAAUUUGCACAAUCACAUGUCUUGUUGUACACACAGGGGGCAAAAUGAGUGAAUCUAUUUUUUGCAGGGGGGUAAACAGAAAAAAAAUCUGCAUAGGGGGGUNNNNNNNNNNNNNNNNNNNAAAUGAUCAUUUACCCUAAAAAAACAAAAUCUUCGCCGGUUUGCUUCCACCGUCGUGAUCAUAUUCGUCGUCGUCUUCUUCAAUCACCGGAAUCGUCUUCUACUUCGUUAUUGUCUUCUGCUUCCUUCUAUUUUUCUAGUUCAAGGGAAAAUGAUUUUGGUAUAAGAGGAAAACACGAAUAAAACUUCUUUUUCUAUUUUUUUUUAAUUCAAAGAGAUUAACAAAAAAAUAAUGUUUUGUUUUUAAAAAAUUAAGAUCAUGUUUUUUUAAUUCAAAAAGAUUUGAAAAUAAAUCAUUAAAAUUUUUAUUUUGAAAAUAAACUUUAUUUUGGAGUGAAUAUUUAUUUUGGGAGCAAAAUAAGAAAAUUCAAUUUUUUUUGUUGGAAAUUUUUUUAAAUUCUUUAUAGGAAAAAAAAUUUAUUUUUUUUGCAGGAAAUUUUUUUCAAAAUUUUGUAGGAAAAAAANNNNNNNNNNNNNNNNNNNNNNNNNNNNNNNNNNNNNNNGUUUUUUAUUUUUGUAGAAUUUUUUUUAUAAAUUUUUUUUAUUAUCUGGCGUACACACGGGGGGCAAAAUGAGUGAAUCUAUUUUUUGCAGGGGGUAAAGAGAAAAAAAAUCUGCAUAGGGGGGUCAACGAAAAUUUGCUUAUUUUGCAGGGGUAAAUGAUCAUUUACCCUAUCUUUGUAAAUUGUGCAUUCAAUAUGUUAAAGAUGUAAAAAGUUACCAUCUCUUAUAAUUAAUUUUGUUAUUUAUUUCCUUUUUUUAGUAUGUUUAACCAGUGUUCCACUGUCUAGCAUUACCCUUAUUUAAUUUGUUCUUUUCCAAAACAUCAUUCUUCGACCACCCACUUUGUUGCAUACGCUUAGCAGCAUCAUAUGCUCCUCUCCAUCUAUGAGAAAGAUAAAAAAAUCAUAAAAGAUAAAAUACAUUUCAACAAGAUUUUUAUUCAAACCUUUCUGAUGGGCAAGACAGACAUCAAGCAUAUUUAUCUCUAUAAGAGAUACUAAGAUAAAAAAAUCAUAUGAAUUUACCAAUUCGAUCAACAAAAAAUGAAAAANN
rnacentral:lncRNA from 1 species